rnacentral:rRNA from 1 species
AUUGAACGCUGGCGGCAGGCCUAACACAUGCAAGUCGAGCGGUAGAGAGGUGCUUGCACCUCUUGAGAGCGGCGGACGGGUGAGUAAUGCCUAGGAAUCUGCCUGGUAGUGGAGGAUAACGCUCGGAAACGGACGCUAAUACCGCAUACGUCCUACGGGAGAAAGCAGGGGACCUUCGGGCCUUGCGCUAUCAGAUGAGCCUAGGUCGGAUUAGCUAGUUGGUGAGGUAAUGGCUCACCAAGGCGACGAUCCGUAACUGGUCUGAGAGGAUGAUCAGUCACACUGGAACUGAGACACGGUCCAGACUCCUACGGGAGGCAGCAGUGGGGAAUAUUGGACAAUGGGCGAAAGCCCGAUCCAGCCAUGCCGCGUGUGUGAAGAAGGUCUUCGGAUUGUAAAGCACUUUAAGUUGGGAGGAAGGGUCGUUACCUAAUACGUGACGAUUUUGACGUUACCGACAGAAGAAGCCCCGGCUAACUCCGUGCCAGCAGCCGCGGUAAUAC